GAUGAACGCUGGCGGCGUGCCUAAUACAUGCAAGUCGAGCGAACAGACGAGGAGCUUGCUCCUCUGACGUUAGCGGCGGACGUGUGAGUAACACGUGGAUAACCUACCUAUAAGACUGGGAUAACUUCGGGAAACCGGAGCUAAUACCGUAUAAUAUAUUGAACCGCAUGGUUCAAUAGUGAAAGACGGUUUUGCUGUCACUUAUAGAUGGAUCCGCGCCGCAUUAGCUAGUUGGUAAGGUAACGGCUUACCAAGGCGACGAUGCGUAGCCGACCUGAGAGGGUGAUCGGCCACACUGGAACUGAGACACGGUCCAGACUCCUACGGGAGGCAGCAGUAGGGAAUCUUCCGCAAUGGGCGAAAGCCUGACGGAGCAACGCCGCGUGAGUGAUGAAGGUCUUCGGAUCGUAAAACUCUGUUAUUAGGGAAGAACAAAUGUGUAAGUAACUAUGCACGUAUUGACGGUACCUAAUCAGAAAGCCACGGCUAACUACGUG
rnacentral:rRNA from 1 species